rnacentral:rRNA from 1 species
UACGUAGGGUGCAGGCGUUAAUCGGAAUUACUGGGCGUAAAGCGUGCGCAGGCGGUUUCUUAAGUCAGAUGUGAAAGCCCCGGGCUUAACUUGGGAAUUGCGCUCGAAACUACUUGGCUGGAGUGUGGCAGAGGGGGGUGGAAUUCCACGUGUAGCGGUGAAAUGCGUAGAGAUGUGGAGGAACACCAAUGGCGAAGGCAGCCCCCUGGGCCAACACUGACGCUCAUGCUCGAAAGCGUGGGGAGCAAACAGG